UUUCCUCUCAAUUUUAGAGCUUAGGUUGCAAACCCACAUCCACUUAUCUUUGGAAAAUAGUUGAAAUUAGAGGUGAACACGGUGCAAGCACAAGCAAUAAGGGAAAGGAGCACCUCCAUGGUUGACUAAGCCAGUAAUAGCAUUUUUUUGACGUGUACAGAGUAUAGAAGCGAGUGAACUCGCUAGUUGGCAGCAGC